UUUGGGGAAUUUUCCGCAAUGGGCGAAAGCCUGACGCAGCCAUGCCGCGUGGAUGAUGAAGGUCUUAGGAUUGUAAAAUCCUUUCACCGGGGACGAUAAUGACGGUACCCGGAGAAGAAGCCCCGGCUAACUUCGUGCCAGCAGCCGCGGUAAUACGAAGGGGGCUAGCGUUGCUCGGAAUUACUGGGCGUAAAGGGCGCGUAGGCGGACAUUUAAGUCGGGGGUGAAAUCCCAGGGCUCAACCCUGGAACUGCCUUCGAUACUGGAUGUCUUGAGUGCGGGAGAGGUGUGUGGAACUCCGAGUGUAGAGGUGAAAUUCGUAGAUAUUCGGAAGAACACCAGUGGCGAAGGCGACACACUGGCCCGUUACUGACGCUGAGGCGCGAAAGCGUGGGGAGCAAAAGGGAUUAGAUACCCCUGUAGUC
rnacentral:rRNA from 1 species